GACGAACGCUGGCGGCGUGCUUAACACAUGCAAGUCGAACGGAAAGGCCCUGCUUUUGUGGGGUGCUCGAGUGGCGAACGGGUGAGUAACACGUGAGUAACCUGCCCUUGACUUUGGGAUAACUUCAGGAAACUGGGGCUAAUACCGGAUAGGAGCUCCUGCUGCAUGGUGGGGGUUGGAAAGUUUCGGCGGUUGGGGAUGGACUCGCGGCUUAUCAGCUUGUUGGUGGGGUAGUGGCUUACCAAGGCUUUGACGGGUAGCCGGCCUGAGAGGGUGACCGGCCACCUUGGGACUGAGAUACGGCCCAGACUCCUACGGGAGGCAGCAGUGGGGAAUAUUGCACAAUGGGCGGAAGCCUGAUGCAGCAACGCCGCGUGCGUGAUGACGGCCUUCGAGUUGUAAACCGCUUUCGCCUGUGACGAAGCGUGAGUGACGGUAAUGGGUAAAGAAGCACCGGCUAACUACGUG
rnacentral:rRNA from 1 species